CGCUGGCGGCGUGCUUAACACAUGCAAGUCGAACGGUGACGGAGAGCUUGCUCUCCUGAUCAGUGGCGAACGGGUGAGUAACACGUGGGCAAUCUGCCCCUGACUUCGGGAUAACGCUUCGAAAGAGGUGCUAAUACCGAAUACGAAUCCUGCAGGCAUCUGCGGGAUUGGAAAGUUUUUCGGUCAAGGAUGAGCUCGCGGCCUAUCAGCUAGUUGGUGAGGUAAUGGCUCACCAAGGCGACGACGGGUAGCCGGCCUGAGAGGGUGACCGGCCACACUGGAACUGAGACACGGUCCAGACUCCUACGGGAGGCAGCAGUGGGGAAUAUUGCACAAUGGACGAAAGUCUGAUGCAGCAACGCCGCGUGAGGGAUGAAGGCCUUCGGGUUGUAAACCUCUUUUAGCAGGGAAGAAGCGAAAGUGACGGUACCUGCAGAAAAAGCACCGGCUAACUACGUG
rnacentral:rRNA from 1 species